GCAGUGGUGGUUCAGUGGUAGAACGCUUGCCUUUCAUGCAGGAGACCCAAGUUUGGUUCCUGGCCAACGCA
rnacentral:tRNA from 1 species